rnacentral:rRNA from 1 species
CCCUUAGAUGUUCUGGGCUGUACGCGCGCUACACUGAUGCGUUCAACGAGUGUAUCACCUUGCCCGAUAGGGUUGGGUAAUCUUUUGAACACGCAUCGUGAUGGGGAUAGAUUAUUGCAAUUAUUAAUCUUCAACGAGGAAUUCCUAGUAAUGAUGAAUCAUCAGUUCAUCGUGAUUACGUCCCUGCCCUUUGUACACACCGCCCGUCGCUCCUACCGAGGGGGUGAUCCGGUGAAUAAUUCGGACUGCAGCAGUGUUCAGUUCCUGAACGUUGCAGCGGAAAGUUUAGUGAACCUUAUCACUUAGAGGAAGGAGAAGUCGUAACA